CUCUCUCUAGGUUUGGAGGACGCCCCUCUCACUCCUCCACCCAUUUGCAGCCGCCACCCCACCUCCCCCAUCAAACCCUAGCCACCCCCUCCUCAAGCCCUUCUCUCCAAGGUGCCAUUCCUUUCCCGCUCGGAUCUAUGUCGCGUUGGUGCAUGUCUCCAAUUGGAUUUUGGUGGAGAGAAGAAGAAGGGAGGAAAGGGGGAGGAUUCAAGGUGAUUUUGAGAUUUGUAUCUUGUUUAAUUGUGUUGUAAUCCAAUUGAUUAUAUGUUUACCUAUCCGAAUCGGUAGAGGUGCUGUCCUGAAAUUUUGUGUGUGGGCGAACAGCAGUAGUUCUAGGGAUUUCUGGGAAUUUUUCGUGGGUAAUUAGUGGGGAUCAGUGGGUGAAUCAUGUAGAGCUUUGUCAUACCUUUCCAACGGGUACUUAUGCGCUUGAUUCGGAGUUAUAAUUUAGGAGAUAUCGUUGUUUGAAUCCGGUUAUGUUGCUGUCCAAAAAAACAGAUUUUCAGGUGGGUGAACAGCAGUAGUAUUAGCAGUUUCUGGGCAUUUUUCGUGGGUAAUUAGUGUUAACCAGUAUGAUAAUAAUGUAGGGCUUUGUCUUAUCUUUCCAAUGAGUACUUAUGCGCUUGAUUUGGAAUUAUAUUUUAAAAGAUAUCGCUGUUUGAAUCCGGGUAUGUCGCUGUCCAAAAGACAAAAAAAACAGAUUACAGGGUUCAUCUUGUGGACUGUUUUGGGCUAAUUAGAUCUUGGAAUUUAAUUAUAAAUUAUGUACAAAACUUGUGGGGAAUUUUAUGUAGAUGCCUCUGGAGUUUUUGUUUGUUACCACGGCUGUCAUAAUUUUAAAGUUAUGAAAUUAUUAAGCAGUCCCGCUGCAGUUUGGUGGGUGUGGGGAGAGAUGUAACCCGCGGCGGGGUUUGAGUUUGCGCGUAGGUGCGGCGUCGCUUAUGAGCCUGAUUAUGUGAAAUUGGUGCACUAAGUUGUGUGUCAAAAACAGGUGGUGGACUUCCGGAUCGUACUUAGGGAUUUGCCCGAACUUCCGGUAAAGGCAAGUA
rnacentral:lncRNA from 1 species